CUGGACAAUUUUUAUACAAACCCACGCAAGGUUAGCCAAAACAGAUUCGCCGCAAGAAUUUUUUUUGCUUCUUGCGCUACGUCAGUUUACUUACUACAAGUAAUGGGUAGUAUGUACGCCGGCUAUAAGCUCAAUCUGAG
rnacentral:sRNA from 1 species